rnacentral:rRNA from 1 species
UGGCGAACGGGUGAGUAACGCGUGAGGAACCUGCCUCAAAGAGGGGGACGACAGUUGGAAACGACUGCUAAUACCGCAUAAGCCCACGGGUCGGCAUCGACCUGAGGGAAAAGGAGCAAUCCGCUUUGAGAUGGCCUCGCGUCCGAUUAGCUAGUUGGUGAGGUAACGGCCCACCAAGGCGACGAUCGGUAGCCGGACUGAGAGGUUGAACGGCCACAUUGGGACUGAGACACGGCCCAG